rnacentral:misc_RNA from 1 species
GCUACAAUAAUUACACUUGCCUUUUAGUUUGCUCUCCUCAUUUUUUAACUUGGUGAAAUGAUCCCAAACUGGAAGCUGUGGUCUAACUUUUACUUCACUUUUGUAUUUGAUUUUACUGCAUCUUCAGCUGCACUUUGAUUAUAUUCAGCAGUAGUUUUAGCUUUUGAAUCUUCUUGCCCACUAGAAGAAUCCAUGUCCAACUGUUAAAAGAGUAAAGAAUGCAUUAAAAUUCCCAUUAAUAUUAAUAAUAUAUGCAAUUCUCAUUUCUCAAUCUCAUUAAUAUAAAUAAAAAUAACGCAACAAACAAAUGAUCAACUCACAAACAAAUAGUAUAAAUGUCUAUUGUACAGCAGAAUCAUGACAAUAUGAAUAUUGCAGUAUGAGUAUUGAGACUAGGCAAACUCACAGAUUAUAAAUUUAUACUAACAUAUAAAUAAAUAGUGCAAUAUCAAUAAACUCAGAGAGUAAUACUGCAAUAUUGCAAACACACUCAUAGUUUUAUAACAACCUCAUAUUAAUAUUGCAGCAUUAUAAGUUAGACACUAGACAACCAAGAUUGGGCAAUCAACUAAUAUUCCUCAAAAACCAAAGAAACAAAAUAAUAUAGUAAUAUUAAUAAUCAUUUCACACAAACUCAAAAAACAACUUACAACAAAAGAACAAGAACUAGUAUAAUGCAUUCAUAUCACAGAAGCAAUAAUACAACAAGGAAAUAAUUUAUUUGAACAAACUCAAAAACAAAGAAUCAA